AUUUAUCUACAACUGAGAAAACGCCAAAUAUUUAAAAAAAAAUUGUUUACGGCGAUUAAAAGAGGGACGAGGAUACCAAAGGGACAGUCAAACUCAUAAAUCGAAAAUAAACUGACAACGUCUGGCUAAAAAUGAAAAAAAACAAACAGACAAACAAUAAAACACAUGACACAACAUAGAAAACUAAAGAAUAAGCAACACAAACC
rnacentral:lncRNA from 1 species